AUCGCUUCUCAGUCUUUUGGCUAAGAUCAAGUGUAGUAUUCAUACUAGUUUCUCUAUAAAUAUUUUAGAAGGAGAAAGAAACAGAAAAAGAAUUGGUAGAGUUUUCAGUAUUCUCUUCACCUGGAAUUUCUCAUAU
rnacentral:snRNA from 1 species